UGCUGAGACUGAGACACGGCCCAGACUCCUACGGGAGGCAGCAGUGGGGAAUAUUGGACGAUGGGCGCAAGCCUGAUCCAGCAAUGCCGCGUGUGUGAAGAAGGCCUUCGGGUUGUAAAGCACUUUUAUCAGGAGCGAAAUACCACGGGUUAAUACCCUAUGGGGCUGACGGUACCUGAGGAAUAAGCACCGGCUAACUUCGUGCCAGCAGCCGCGGUAAUACGAAAGGUGC
rnacentral:rRNA from 1 species